GAAAUUCAUAUUGAGUGCAAUGAGACAGAAGUGGAAUUUCAAAUCACAAGUGUGGACUGAAGAAGGAUUCUGUGAAAAGUCCCAGGGCUGGAAAGAUGAGGAAAGUGAGGCCCAGAGCUAUUAAGAAAUUGCCUGAGCUCAUGAAGCUGAUACAUGCAGCUGCUGAAGCACA